rnacentral:rRNA from 1 species
CAACGCGACCCCAGGUCAGGCGGGGCUACCC